UGGGGAAUAUUGCACAAUGGGGGAAACCCUGAUGCAGCGACGCCGCGUGAGGGAAGAAGGUAUUCGUAUUGUAAACCUCUGUCUUCGGGGACGAUAAUGACGGUACCCGAGGAGGAAGCACCGGCUAACUACGUGCCAGCAGCCGCGGUAAAACGUAGGGUGCUAGCGUUGUCCGGAAUUACUGGGUGUAAAGGGAGCGCAGGCGGUCCUUUAAGUUGGAAGUUAAAUCUACGGGCUCAACCCGUAUUCGCUUUCAAAACUGAAGGACUUGAGUGAAGUAGAGGUAGGCGGAAUUUCCGGUGUAGCGGUGGAAUGCGUAGAUAUCGGAAGGAACACCAGUGGCGAAGGCGGCCUACUGGGCUUUUACUGACGCUGAGGCUCGAAAGCAUGGGUAGCAAACAGG
rnacentral:rRNA from 2 species